rnacentral:ncRNA from 2 species
UGAAUUGACAUAAUGGAUGGUUCCGGAUCGGCCUUAAGCCUUCCGGAUGAAAAGGGAAUGUGACGGGGCGGACCCAAGCCGGGCGCUUUCAUCACAGCCGACCCCGCGACUGUAGAGCAGUCAGGGUCUUCCAUCCGGCAUUUCGAUUG